AUCUAAGUACCCCGAGGAAAAGAAAUCAACCGAGAUUCCCCCAGUAGCGGCGAGCGAACGGGGAGGAGCCCAGAGCCUGAAUCAGCAUGUGUGUUAGUGGAAGCGUCUGGAAAGGCGCGCGAUACAGGGUGACAGCCCCGUACACAAAAGCGCAUGUGCUGUGAGCUCGAUGAGUAGGGCGGGACACGUGGUAUCCUGUCUGAAUAUGGGGGGACCAUCCUCCAAGGCUAAAUACUCCUGACUGACCGAUAGUGAACCAGUACCGUGAGGGAAAGGCGAAAAGAACCCCGGCGAGGGGAGUGAAAAAGAACCUGAAACCGUGUACGUACAAGCAGUGGGAGCCCCACCACCAAAGCAUUCUCUGGUGUUGAAGGCCCUGCAAAGCAGCAUCGCGGUGGCGGAGCGUCGUUUGCGACGCCCAACACACAAAACAAGCGGUGAAUGCUUUGGGGUGGGGUGACUGCGUACCUUUUGUAUAAUGGGUCAGCGACUUAUAUUCUGUAGCAAGGUUAACCGAAUAGGGGAGCCGGAGGGAAACCGAGUCUUAAUUGGGCGUUAAGUUGCAGGGUAUAGACCCGAAACCCGGUGAUCUAGCCAUGGGCAGGUUGAAGGUUGGGUAACACUAACUGGAGGACCGAACCGACUAAUGUUGAAAAAUUAGCGGAUGACCUGUGGCUGGGGGUGAAAGGCCAAUCAAACCGGGAGAUAGCUGGUUCUCCCCGAAAGCUAUUUAGGUAGCGCCUCGUGAAUUCAUCUCCGGGGGUAGAGCACUGUUUCGGCUAGGGGGCCAUCCCGGCUUACCAACCCGAUGCAAACUGCGAAUACCGGAGAAUGUUAUCACGGGAGACACACGGCGGGUGCUAACGUCCGUCGUGAAGAGGGAAACAACCCAGACCGCCAGCUAAGGUCCCAAAGUCAUGGUUAAGUGGGAAACGAUGUGGGAAGGCCCAGACAGCCAGGAUGUUGGCUUAGAAGCAGCCAUCAUUUAAAGAAAGCGUAAUAGCUCACUGGUCGAGUCGGCCUGCGCGGAAGAUGUAACGGGGCUAAACC
rnacentral:rRNA from 1 species